ensembl:snRNA U1 U1 spliceosomal RNA
AUACUUACCUGGCAGGGGAGAUACCAUGAUCACGAAGGUGGUUUUCCCAGGGCGAGGCUUAUCCAUUGCACUCCGGAUGUGUUGACCCCUGCGAUUUCCCCAAAUGUGGGAAACUCGACUGCAUAAUUUGUGGUAGUGGGGGACUGCGUUCGCGCUUUCCCCUG